GGAUUAGAUACCCUGGUAGUCCACGCCGUAAACGAUGUCGACUAGCCGUUGGAGUCCUUGAGGCUUUAGUGGCGCAGCUAACGCGAUAAGUCGACCGCCUGGGGAGUACGGCCGCAAGGUUAAAACUCAAAUGAAUUGACGGGGGCCCGCACAAGCGGUGGAGGAUGUGGCUUAAUUCGAGUCUACGCGAAGAACCUUAUCCUGGUCUUGACAUGUUUGGGAGCGCUUUCGAAAGAAAGAAGUGCCCUUCGGGGAGCCCUUGCACAGGUGCUGCAUGGCUGUCGUCAGCUCGUGUUG
rnacentral:rRNA from 1 species